rnacentral:rRNA from 1 species
GUGAAGCGGCAACAGCUCAAAUUUGAAAUCUGGCGUCUUUGGCGUCCGAGUUGUAAUUUGCAGAGGGCGCUUUGGCAUUGGCAGCGGUCCAAGUUCCUUGGAACAGGACGUCACAGAGGGUGAGAAUCCCGUACGUGGUCGCUAGCCUUUACCGUGUAAAGCCCCUUCGACGAGUCGAGUUGUUUGGGAAUGCAGCUCUAAAUGGGAGGUAAAUUUCUUCUAAAGCUAAAUACUGGCCAGAGACCGAUAGCGCACAAGUAGAGUGAUCGAAAGAUGAAAAGCACUUUGGAAAGAGAGUUAAAAAGCACGUGAAAUUGUUGAAAGGGAAGCGCUUGCAGCCAGACUUGCCUGUAGUUGCUCAUCCGGGUUUUUACCCGGUGCACUCUUCUACGGGCAGGCCAGCAUCAGUUUGGGCGGUUGGAUAAAGGUCUCUGUCAUGUACCUCCUCUCGGGGAGAUCUUAUAGGGGAGACGACAUGCAACCAGCCUGGACUGAGGUCCGCGCAUCUGCUAGGAUGCUGGCGUAAUGGCUGUAAGCGGCCCGUCUUGAAACACGGACCAAGGAGUCUAACAUCUAUGCGAGUGUUUGGGUGUCAAGCCCGAACGCGUAAUGAAAGUGAACGGAGGUGGGAACCUUUCGGGGUGCACCAUCGACCGAUCCUGAUGUCUUCGGAUGGAUUUGAGUAAGAGCAUAGCUGUUGGGACCCGAAAGAUGGUGAACUAUGCUUGAAUAGGGUGAAGCCAGAGGAAACUCUGGUGGAGGCUCGCAGCGGUUCUGACGUGCAAAUCGAUCGUCAAAUUUGGGCAUAGGGGCGAAAGACUAAUCGAACUAUCUAGUAGCUGGUUCCUGCCGAAGUUUCCCUCAGGAUAGCAGUAACGUUUUCAGUUUUAUGAGGUAAAGCGAAUGAUUAGAGGCCUGGGGGUUGAAACAACCUU